rnacentral:rRNA from 1 species
CUGUCUAGUCUGUAACUGACGCUGAGCUCGAAAGCAUGGGUAGCGAACAGGAUUAGAUACCUGGUAGUCCAUGCCGUAAACGAUGAGUGCUAAGUGUUGGAGGGUUUCCCCCUUCAGUGCUGCAGCUAACGCAUUAAGCACUCCGCGUGGGGAGUACGACCGCAAGGUUGAAACUCAAAGGAAUUGACGGGGGCCCGCACAAGCGGUGGAGCAUGUGGUUUAAUUCGAAGCUACGCGAAGAACCUUACCAGGUCUUGACAUCUUCUGCCAAUCUUAGAGAUAAGACGUUCCCUUCGGGGACAGAAUGACAGGUGGUGCAUGGUUGUCGUCAGCUCGUGUCGUGAGAUGUUGGGUUAAGUCCCGCAACGAGCGCAACCCUUAUUAUCAGUUGCCAGCAUUCAGUUGGGCACUCUGGUGAGACUGCCGGUGACAAACCGGAGGAAGGUGGGGAUGACGUCAAAUCAUCAUGCCCCUUAUGACCUGGGCUACACACGUGCUACAAUGGACGGUACAACGAGUCGCGAAGUCGUGAGGCUAAGCUAAUCUCUUAAAGCCGUUCUCAGUUCGGAUUGUAGGCUGCAACUCGCCUACAUGAAGUUGGAAUCGCUAGUAAUCGCGGAUCAGCAUGCCGCGGUGAAUACGUUCCCGGGCCUUGUACACACCGCCCGUCACACCAUGAGAGUUUGUAACACCCAAAGCCGGUGAGAUAACCUUCGGGAGUCAGCCGCCUAAGGUGGGACAGAUGAUUAGGGUGAAGUCGUAACAAGGUAACCA